rnacentral:rRNA from 1 species
GACGAACGCUGGCGGCGUGCUUAACACAUGCAAGUCGAACGGUGAAGCUGGAGCUUGCUCCGGUGGAUUAGUGGCGAACGGGUGAGUAACACGUGAGCAAUCUGCCCUUGACUCUGGGAUAACUGCGGGAAACUGUAGCUAAUACCGGAUAUGAGGCUCGAAGGCAUCUUCGGGUCUGGAAAGAAUUUCGGUCAAGGAUGGGCUCGCGGCCUAUCAGCUUGUUGGUGAGGUAAUGGCUCACCAAGGCGACGACGGGUAGCCGGCCUGAGAGGGUGACCGGCCACACUGGGACUGAGACACGGCCCAGACUCCUACGGGAGGCAGCAGUGGGGAAUAUUGCACAAUGGGCGAAAGCCUGAUGCAGCAACGCCGCGUGAGGGAUGAAGGCCUUCGGGUUGUAAACCUCUUUUAGCAGGGAAGAAGCGAAAGUGACGGUACCUGCAGAAAAAGCACCGGCUAACUACGUGCCAGCCGCCGCCGUAA